GAUCAUUCAUUGGCAGAAGUUUCAGCUGCGACGCUAUCUGUCUGGAGAGUUCGCAGUCCCCUGAAAGGGAGUCGCCAGCAGAUAAUUUGUUAUGGCAAAUAGCAACAGUACCAAUCUUUGUGUGUACCAUGACCAGCACAGCACUGGGAUACAGGAAAUAGUUGGAUUCACCUCUCCAGGGUAAAAGUGAAACUGCCUGAGACGCCAGAAGAUGAAGAAGGACUAUGAACUUCAUACUCCUCUGAACCAACCAAUAGACCUCAAGUUUUGUUUUGUUUUGUUUUGUUUUUUUCAGAAAACACCAACCACUCUGGUGAACCAGAUGGAUAAAAAAGUUUCCUCCCUCUAAGUAGAUUGUGUGAAUAGUGUCACUACUGUUUUGUUUACCACACUUAUUAAAAUAAUAAUUUUGCUUGAGUCAUAAAAAGGCCAUACCCAAAUACAUCUGAGUUCACUCUGGUUUAUGAACAAUUAACUGUCUUGUGUGUGUUUGUCCAUUCAUUUGUCCAAUUUGUGCUAAUGACCAGUUGCAACACCUACAGCUGUUUUGAGUUCCACAAUUUUUUCUUAUUUUUGCCUUUUUUGGGAUCUCCAUGGAAAACAGUGUAUAUAGGUUCAAAUAUUUCUGUCUGUAGCUUAAGAUGCCUUAUAGGUAAAAUAAGUGUCAUUAAAUUUAAGGACAUGCUUCUAUCCAAGUUGCCAGUCAAUCAAAAUGAUGUCAAGACUGGUUGUUGUCUGUAGAACAACUUGGGAAUCUUUCACUGGUCAAAAUUAAUGUGCUAAUUGUUAUGAUCUGGUUCUCACAGGUCAUCUAAAAACAUAGGAUGUUCUGAUUAAAAUAACUAAAAGGGGACUCCCUGGGCUUGAGAAAACUGCUGGACAAGACUCCCCUCGAUGAAUAAAGAAAGAGCUGCCUGCAAACAUUUAUUCCUAUAUUUAUUCACUAAUGGUAUCACCUGCAAUUUCCAUAAACUUAUGGGAGACACACCCCAAUAAACAUUGCUAAACACAUUAUUGUAAUAUAUUUACAUUUUUAUCAUCCAGGUAUCUACUUUUUCCACAAUUUGUACAACUUCUUCCUCUUUAAGACCUGAUGGAACACUCAAUUAGGCCAGGGAGCUUCCCAUUUGGGAAUGGGGCAAUACCCUGUAAGACUUUACUCAGAUGGAAGCUUAAGUCCAUUCUAUAGAGACACUAGGCCUCAUCCUUCCUUUUCCUCAUCUUUGGGGAUUCUUCUGAACCCAUCUAGAGAUUUAUGCCAGCCAUUGUGGCUCUUGAACUUUUCUGAGGCUUUUUCAUGAGCCAAUCUGGAGCUCAAGGUUCUUUAACCAUUUGUCUGACAGGAAAGUUAGGAUUAAGAGAUUUUGAGAGACUAGAGACACUGGGAUGUGUGUAGAGAUCAAUUUGAUUUGCUCAGGAAUAAAGUGCUUGUACUACUUUGUAGCUCCCUAGAGAAAUUUCAGUUACCUGUGAUUUAGAAAAAGAUUUUUUUUAUAUAUAAUGGCCAUUAUAACUGAAAGCACACUCUGAUUUCACCCAGCUGUCCUUAAAAAGAUUCUCUGAAGUACCUUUGGCCAGGAUAGUAUCCAUAGCUGCUUUCCUCGCCCUUGUUUGGAUUAGCGAUAAGCACAAGCAGGACCCUUCUCUGUCCAUUGACUAUGUAGCUACUUGGAUAAUAUUGGUUGAUUUCUUACUGGGGUUUAAAUUUCCCCUCAUUUUGGCUAACAGUCAUUGGUUCAUUUUAAACUCAUUCUGUUUCAAAUAUUUGUCAAAGUAUCUGUUUGAUGGAAAUUGACUUUUGUCUACUGCCUCCUUCAUUUCUCAACUUAAAAAAAUAGAUGGAUUUGACUACAGAUGCCUUCUUUUUGUGUUUUUCUUGGGGGAAAAUAUUGGUCCUAAACUGGUUUCUUGUUUCCACGCUAGAGGCUUUGAACAAUAGAGCCAGGAUAAGAUGUGUAAAUUUCUGACCAACUAUGUCUAAAUUUUAGCACAAUGGAAAAUGCCUUAAAACCUGGGGAAAGAGCUUUCUAAAUUGACUAAGAUCUAUGAUAAGGUAGAGGGAGAAGCUUUAGGAAAUUUAAACUCAGAUUAAUUGGGUCAGUAGUCUCAGAUGUAUAUUUCUCAUCUUCUUACACGCAAAUUUAGGAUUAAGAAUUUUUUAGACUGUGAAAAACAAAAUCAUGCCAAUAAUGUAACUUUAAAAAUCUAGUAAAUAAAA